GACGAACGCUGGCGGCGUGCUUAACACAUGCAAGUCGAACGGAAAGGCCCUGCUUUUGUGGGGUGCUCGAGUGGCGAACGGGUGAGUAACACGUGAGUAACCUGCCCUUGACUUUGGGAUAACUUCAGGAAACUGGGGCUAAUAUCCGAUAGGAGCUCCUGCUGCAUGGUGGGGGUUGGAAAGUUUCGGCGGUUGGGGAUGGACUCGCGGCUUAUCAGCUUGUUGGUGGGGUAGUGGCUUACCAAGGCUUUGACGGGUAGCCGGCCUGGGAGGGUGACCGGCCACAUUGGGACUGAGAUACGGCCCAGACUCCUACGGGAGGCAGAAGUGGGGAAUAUUGCACAAUGGGCGGAAGCCUGAUGCAGCAACGCCGCGUGCGGGAUGACGGCCUUCGGGUUGUAAACCGCUUUCGCCUGUGACGAAGCGUGAGUGACGGUAAUGGGUAAAGAAGCACCGGCUAACUACGUG
rnacentral:rRNA from 1 species